AAAACGCUGUCAUUGCUUUGAUCGCGUGCAGUCCUUUGUUGCAAUGAAUGACAGAUCUUUCUUCCCAGUUCUCGAGCACCGGCAUUCCUCUCGCUCCAUUCGUCCUGUCCGUUUUGCGUGAUAAAUGCCUUGCUUUCAUUAAUUGUUGCUUAUUAAGAGCAGCAUGGCAUCUUUUAUUUUUAUGUCUUGAUUUUUAGUCGAUGUUGAUUUUAUGGUUAUGCAUUUACACACUGAAGGGCGUGGCAUGACAGAACUACAGACAAAGCCAUAAAACAAAGAUCUACAGUAUAUGAAGAUGGAGCUCCAGUUGCAUGAACAAAGACAUGGAUUCCAAUCCCAAUAUAUUUCUGUCUACAGAUGCACAAAACCCAGCCCAGCGCUAGGCCUCAUCCUGAGCUAAAUUCUGGCUUUGGGAAUCCACAUUUCGCUUUGUCUCAUUGACAUACUACAAAGUAGCCGAAUCCAUUGGAUUUGCUUGAGAGCCUCUGACUUGGUUUGUGAUGAAUGUUUUUUUUUUUUUAUCUCUGAAUACAAUCAUACACAUUACUGUGAUAUUUAAAUAAUAAUAAGGGAGAGAAAAAUAGAAGCACACACAUUUGAACCCGUGAAAUGUCAUCUGAAUCCCACAGGUUAUUAGUAUAAUAAUGUGCUCUGACAGGAGAGCUCGUACAUUAUAUUGCUAGUCUCAGCAAUGUUUCGGUCCAAUUAGGUUGAUGUUUAGAAUGCACAUCUUAAAUCACAACUGCCCUCAGCAAAAACUGAAGAUAAAUGUUUGUACCUAAGAGGAUAACCAUGUACACUGACAAAUAGCAUAAGCUAAUAUGAACUGGUUGUGGACUUUUUUUCAGAGCAGCAUGGACAAAGGUUGGCUUAAAUGUGAUUUUGUGAAAUGAUUAGGUUUGUGAGAAUAUUGUGUGUCUAUAAUGGCUAAUGGCUGUUUUUUUUUUCCCAGUCAUGUGUACGUCAUCUCAUUGAGCAGUGAAAAGAAUUAUAUGUGAUGGAAAAGUUACCGGUCAUUAUCGCAAAAUUAACUGGCUGAUUAGGAUGCUGAUGUAGAGUGACUACUUAAAUAAACAAACUGACAUGAAAAACAUACAUACACUACCCUUCAAAAGUUUGGGAAAAAAAAUUUUCAGAAUUUUUUAAAGAAAAAUCUCACCACGGCUGCAUUAUUUUAUUUAAAAAUACAGUAAAAACAGUAAUAUUUCGAAAUAUUAUUACAAUUUAACACA